ACGCUAGCUACAGGCUUAACACAUGCAAGUCGAGGGGAAACGACAUCGAAAGCUUGCUUUUGACGGGCGUCGACCGGCGCACGGGUGAGUAACGCGUAUCCAACCUGCCCAUCACUUGGGGAUAACCUUGCGAAAGUAAGACUAAUACCCAAUGAUAUCUCUAGAAGACAUCUGAAAGAGAUUAAAGAUUUAUCGGUGAUGGAUGGGGAUGCGUCUGAUUAGCUUGUUGGCGGGGUAACGGCCCACCAAGGCGACGAUCAGUAGGGGUUCUGAGAGGAAGGUCCCCCACAUUGGAACUGAGACACGGUCCAAACUCCUACGGGAGGCAGCAGUGAGGAAUAUUGGUCAAUGGGCGAGAGCCUGAACCAGCCAAGUAGCGUGCAGGAUGACGGCCCUAUGGGUUGUAAACUGCUUUUAUAAGGGAAUAAAGUGAGUCUCGUGAGACUUUUUGCAUGUACCUUAUGAAUAAGGACCGGCUAAUUCCGUGCCAGCAGCCGCGGUAAUACGGAAGGUCCGGGCGUUAUCCGGAUUUAUUGGGUUUAAAGGGAGCGUAGGCCGGAGAUUAAGCGUGUUGUGAAAUGUAGACGCUCAACGUCUGCACUGCAGCGCGAACUGGUUUCCUUGAGUACGCACAAAGUGGGCGGAAUUCGUGGUGUAGCGGUGAAAUGCUUAGAUAUCACGAAGAACUCCGAUUGCGAAGGCAGCUCACUGGAGCGCAACUGACGCUGAAGCUCGAAAGUGCGGGUAUCGAACAGGAUUAGAUACCCUGGUAGUCCGCACGGUAAACGAUGGAUGCCCGCUGUUGGUCUGAAUAGGUCAGCGGCCAAGCGAAAGCAUUAAGCAUCCCACCUGGGGAGUACGCCGGCAACGGUGAAA
rnacentral:rRNA from 1 species